CAACAUCUAACAGUUGUUGAGUGCUUUUACCAUUGCCAGGCAAUGUUCUAAGGGCCUACAGGCUUUAUCUCUGGGGUGGACAACUCGUUAUUAUCCUUGUUUGACAUAAGGAAGUUGAGAGUUGGGUGAAAUGACUUGCCUGGGGCAUCCAGCCAGUCACUGGAAGAGCUGAGACUUGACUGCCAAAAGCCCAUGUCCUUAACCUCUUAGGACCUCUCUAGGUGACCCAGCAAGGCCUGUGGGAGGGACUAAGGAGGAGCCUCCCAAAAGAAGAUCCUAGGCAAAUGGCUGGAAAGCAAGUCCUUAAAAAGAAGCUUCUCCCCUGCUAGGAUUUCUGCUGAGAAGAAGCCAAGGAGAAACAUGAAAACUCAAAUGUGCCCUGAACCAGUCUCAACCUUGAAGUUAAGGAAUGCAAAAGGUGA